UACGGAGGGUGCAAGCGUUGUCCGGAAUCACUGGGCGUAAAGGGCGCGUAGGCGGCUCAUGAAGGCUGUGGUGAAAGUCCGGGGCUCAACCUCGGAUCGGCCGUGGCGACUCGUGGGCUGGAGCACUGUAGAGGCGGGUGGAAUUCCGGGUGUAGCGGUGGAAUGCGUAGAGAUCCGGAAGAACACCAGUGGCGAGGGCGGCCCGCUGGGCAGUGGCUGACGCUGAGGCGCGACAGCGUGGGGAGCAAACGAGGG
rnacentral:rRNA from 1 species